GCCCUUAUAGCUCAGUGGUAGAGCGUCGCACUCGUAAUGCGAAGGUCGUUAGUUCAAAUCUGACUGGGGGCA
rfam:Botryobasidium botryosum FD-172 SS1 unplaced genomic scaffold BOTBOscaffold_16, whole genome shotgun sequence.